rnacentral:rRNA from 1 species
CUGCUUGGUAUUUCUAGCGGCGGACGGGUGAGUAACGCGUGAGCAACCUGCCUUUAUCAGGGGGAUAACGAUUGGAAACGAUCGCUAAUACCGCAUGACAUAGCGGAACCGCAUGGUUCUGCUAUCAAAGAUUUUAUCGCUGAUAGAUGGGCUCGCGUCCGAUUAGAUAGUUGGUGGGGUAACGGCCCACCAUGGCGACGAUCAGUAGCCGGACUGAGAGGUUGAACGGCCACAUUGGGACUGAGAUACGGCCCAGACUCC